rnacentral:rRNA from 1 species
AACCAGACUCCUACGGGAGGCAGCAGUGGGGAAUAUUGGGCAAUGGGCGCAGGCCUGACCCAGCAACGCCGCGUGAAGGAAGAAGGCUUUCGGGUUGUAAACUUCUUUUCUCAGGGACGAAGCAAGUGACGGUACCUGAGGAAUAAGCCACGGCUAACUACGUGCCAGCAGCCGCGGUAAUACGUAGGUGGCAAGCGUUAUCCGGAUUUACUGGGUGUAAAGGGCGUGUAGGCGGGAAAGCAAGUCAGAUGUGAAAACCAUGGGCUCAACCUGUGGCCUGCAUUUGAAACUGUUGGUCUUGAGUAUCGGAGAGGCAGGCGGAAUUCCUAGUGUAGCGGUGAAAUGCGUAGAUAUUAGGAGGAACACCAGUGGCGAAGGCGGCUUACUGGACUGUAAAUGACGCUGAGGCUCGAAAGCGUGGGGAGCAAACAGGAUUAGAUACCCGCGUA